AUAUGAGUCACCUGGGAUCUUGUUAGAAGGUGAAACUAAUUUAGUAGGACUAGGGCAGGAUCUGAGAGUUUGCUCUUCUAACAAGUUCUUAUGUGCUGCUGUU
rnacentral:miRNA from 1 species